rnacentral:rRNA from 1 species
GACGAACGCUGGCGGCGUGCUUAACACAUGCAAGUCGAACGGUAAGGCCCUUCGGGGUACACGAGUGGCGAGCGGGUGAGUAACACGUGGGUGAUCUGCCCUGCACUUCGGGAUAAGCCUGGGAAACUGGGUCUAAUACCGGAUAGGACCCUGGGAUGCAUGUCCUGGGGUGGAAAGCUUUUGCGGUGUGGGAUGGGCCCGCGGCCUAUCAGCUUGUUGGUGGGGUGAUGGCCUACCAAGGCGACGACGGGUAGCCGGCCCGAGAGGGUGACCGGCCACAGUGGGACUGAGAUACGGCCCAGACUCCUACGGGAGGCAGCGGUGGGGAAUAUUGCACAAUGGGCGCAAGCCUGAUGCAGCGACGCCGCGUGAGGGAUGACGGCCUUCGGGUUGUAAACCUCUUUCAGCACCGACGAAGCGCAAGUGACGGUAGGUGCAGAAGAAGGACCGGCCAACUACGUGCCAGCAGCCGCGGUAA